UUAAGUCUUGACGAGUAAGAGGGUCGCGACGGUGAGCGCAGAAGGGUCAGGGCGAGAGCCUGCCUGGAGCCGCCGUUGGUGCAGAUCUUGGUGGUAGUAGCAAAUACUCUAGCGAGGGCCUGGAGGACUGACGUGGAGAAGGGUUUCUUGUGAACAGCCGUUGCACAAGAGUCAGUCGACCCUGAGCCCUAGGAGAAAUCCGAUGACGAUGGGUGGCUUGACAAUAUAUGCGCACACACAAGUACAACAUGACAUGUUGUUGCUCUGUGUAGACACAUUUUAAUCACAGACCACAGACUGUGUCUGUCGUUUAGUUAUGCACAAUGUGCUGCUUACGACUGAACAGCUCCUAUUGGGCAAAAGGGAAUCCGGUUCCUAUUCCGGAACCCGGCUGCGUAACCGCAUCUUUGCGGGCACUUGCUUGCGAGCGCUCGUCGGGGUAACCCAAACUGGCCUGGAGACGCCGGCGGGGGGUCUGGAAAGAGUUUUCUUUUCUUUAUAAGCGUUCGAGUACCCUGGAAUCCUAUAGCAGGGAGAUAGGGUUUGGAACGCGAAGAGCACCGCAGUUGCGGCGGUGUCCGGACCUUCCCCCCGGACCUUGAAAAUCCAGGUGAGGGCCACGCGGAAGUCGCGCCGG
rnacentral:rRNA from 1 species